rnacentral:rRNA from 1 species
CUACGGGUUGCUGCAGGCGAGAAAACUUUGCAAUGUGCGAAAGCACGACAAGGUUAAUCCGAGUGGUUUCUGCUAAAGGAACCUUUUGACAGUCCUAGAAACACUGUUGAAUAAGGGGUGGGCAAGUUCUGGUGUCAGCCGCCGCGGUAAAACCAGCACCUCAAGUGGUCAGGAUGAUUAUUGGGCCUAAAGCAUCCGUAGCCGGCUCUGUAAGUUUUCGGUUAAAUCUGUACGCUCAACGUACAGGCUGCCGGGAAUACUGCAGAGCUAGGGAGUGGGAGAGGUAGACGGUACUCGGUAGGAAGGGGUAAAAUCCUUUGAUCUAUUGAUGACUACCUGUGGCGAAGGCGGUCUACCAGAACACGUCCGACGGUGAGGGAUGAAAGCUGGGGGAGCAAACCGGAUUAGAUACCCGAGUAGUC